AGGACUCAUCAUCUGGAUUUGGAAGC
rnacentral:piRNA from 1 species